rnacentral:rRNA from 1 species
AUUGAACGCUGGCGGCAUGCCUUACACAUGCAAGUCGAACGGCAGCACGGGAGCAAUCCUGGUGGCGAGUGGCGAACGGGUGAGUAAUAUAUCGGAACGUGCCCAGUCGUGGGGAUAACGUAGCGAAAGCUACGCUAAUACCGCAUACGAUCUAUGGAUGAAAGCGGGGGAUCGCAAGACCUCGCGCGAUUGGAGCGGCCGAUAUCAGAUUAGGUAGUUGGUGAGGUAAAGGCUCACCAAGCCGACGAUCUGUAGCUGGUCUGAGAGGACGACCAGCCACACUGGGACUGAGACACGGCCCAGACUCCUACGGGAGGCAGCAGUGGGGAAUUUUGGACAAUGGACGCAAGUCUGAUCCAGCCAUUCCGCGUGCAGGAUGAAGGCCCUCGGGUUGUAAACUGCUUUUGUACGGAACGAAAGGUUUCUAUUAAUACUAGGAGCUCAUGACGGUACCGUAAGAAUAAGCACCGGCUAACUACGUGCCAG